UACGUAGGGGCCGAGCGUUGUCCGGAAUCAUUGGGCGUAAAGCGCGCGUAGGCGGCCCGAUAAGUCCGAUGUGAAAGUCCAGGGCUCAACCCUGGAAUGUCGGUGGAUACUGUCGGGCUCGAGUCCGGGAGAGGCGAGUGGAAUUCCUGGUGUAGCGGUGAAAUGCGCAGAUAUCAGGAGGAACACCAAUGGCGAAGGCAGCUCGCUGGGACGGUACUGACGCUGAGACGCGAAAGCGUGGGGAGCAAACAGG
rnacentral:rRNA from 1 species